CUCAACUAGAGAAAGCUGCAUGAAAGUAACAAAGACCGAAAGACCAGCACAGCCAAAAAGCAGGUGGAGUGUUGAAGGAGGGAAGCAGAGAGAGGAUUGAGAACUGGAUCAUUGUGAUGGGUCUGUCCACCCAAGUACUGUUGAGUUCAUCUCCUGGUCUCUGCAUUCCCAUCUGCUCAUCUCAGCUCCACCUCCACCAUGCAAGCCAGCUGAUGAGUAUUUCUCUCCUGGAAAUCAGAGGAAAACCUGCAUUCAUUCCAGCUCAGUGGUUCUCAACCAGGAACUGCCUUCCUGGAGGAUAUCUCACCAACAAUGUCUGGACACAUUUUUGGUUGUCACGACUGAGGGAGGAGGUGACUGCUGCAUCCAGUGGAUAGAGGUCAGGGAUGCUGCGACACACCCUGCAAUGUACAGGUCCCCUCACCAACAAAGACUUGUCUGGUCCAAAUGUCAACAGUACUAAGGUUUGCAGAAGACUGACUCCCUGGUUUUGGCUAAAUUUCUCCUCUGAGUAGCCUUCUUCACAAUCCAAUUUAAAUCAGGGCUUGCCAGCCAUCUCCAGCCACUCUCACUUCCUAUUCCUCAUCAAACCUGAUAUUAUCUUGUUCAUCCAUUUACUUUUUUACCAUCUAUAUCCCACUACUUCUGUA